UUCCUCUCAGUGUCGCCCCUGGAGAGUUUCCAGUACUCUGCCAGUCACAGCUGCAGGAGGGAAAGUCAAGCUGAGGCAUUCCCAGUCCAUUCCCAGCUUGGCCAGUGGCUGGUGAGUGGAAGGCAAUCUGCUACCAGU